UCUCCCGUCCCCAGGUCGCCCCGCCGCCACCGUUCGCCGCGGGCUAUAUCCUCCCCUCCCCCGCCUCCAGCCCCACCUCCGCAGCUAGCCUGAUCCAGCGCCGCCGCCGAUCCCCAACAUCUUUGCUUUAGCAGCCCAGAUGUUCCUCACCCAGAAGUGCAGCUCGCUCCUCCCGCCCAACCACCACCACUCGGACGCCGCGCCGCCCAAGGCCAGCAGCCAGCGGAAGCAGCAGCUGCUGCUGACGGCCAAGGCGGCCUGCUUCGACGCAGCGCUGGCCGCGCGCCUCCGGGGCCUGCUGCCGGGUCCGGCGCCCUCUUCCCCGCUCGCGCAGCUCGCCGACCUCCUCGCGCUCACGCUCGCGGAGGCGGCGCCCCCGCUCGCCGGCGAGGGGGACGCGGCCGCAACCACCAGUCUCCCGGGAUGAAGAAAGCCAGAAGGGCAAAACCGUCCAUUCAUGUGCCUGGGAGAGGGAAAAGAUUAAAGAAAAUAAAAAAAUUAAAAAAGGUGAUAAUCCCAUGUUUUAAAACACUUCGCAGCCGGAGUCCCUCGUUUUGAAAGUCAUGCGAACUUAAUCCCUAAAUACGUGAGGCCUGGGAAGUGAGUCCUAAAUAUCAAAAUUUCUCGUCGUUCCUUCUAAUUCCAAACGAAAAAUUCAGUAGGGGAUGGCGCCCCGCGGGAUUGGAUUUGGAAUUCGCCUCCCAAGUCCUUACUGAAUCAAACUCUUGUUGGGUUCCCAAAUCUCAGUGCAAAUUAGUAAGAGGCCGGAGGCUGGAGGGGAUUCCAGGCAGGCAGCAGAGAGAAGUAGAUUGAUUCCACUUCCACAGGAGGGAGGGAAGGAGAGAUAAUAUACUACUGCGUUUGCCGCCUUCGUCUCGUUUCGUCUAUGGAGCGGCAGCCGGGCCGCCGGCGUCGGCGAGCUCAAGCCACCAGUGGAUUAAUUGCUUCACGGACUAAAAAGAGGGCCCCGCCCUGCCAGCAAGAUGAUGAUUCUCAUGGUGGUGGUGAGAUACAAACGCCAAACCUUCCGGAGGUAUGUCAUGAAAAUUUGCAGCCUUAGUGCAAGUAAAAUGUGUCACGAGUCACGACGACUCCUAAAGGCCUUUUCUCCAACCAUGCAUAAUUAACUUUCAAGAACAGAUAGUGUUUGCUCCUAAGUAUAAUAAUGUUGGAACCAUCUUCUGGCCUCCAAAUGAGCCUCAUAAGUUGCCAUCGAGGACAAGCACUUUCCGUUAUUCUUUAUACAAUCUAUAAGUUCCUUGUAAUUUACAAUAGAAGAUGAUUGCUUUCAAGGUUAGUCACUCAUGUCUUUGUGGUACCAUUAAGUUCCAUUUUCUUGAAGUUUUAACAACUGCGCCAUGUUAUCUUCACUAGACCGUUACAGGCAAUAACAUUGUAACUUUAACCUGCAUAGCCUUGUAUGAUGGCAUUCUUUUAUCUGACCUGUUCAAUUGACUAUCAACUUCAGUUAAUAAGGUUUAUGUCACGUUUCUUACACUGUAGCAGUCAAAGUUGAUAUGGACCUCCUGUUUAAAUAUGAUUCACUAUUGGUAUCCUGUCCAGAAGUGCUUGUUCUUUCAGAUAGCACACUAUUGUACAGUAAAAUAUCAUCCUAUCCAUUGUAGUUGACACAAAUGCAAAGAAACUAGUAUUGUUGAGCACAUCCCUGAUUUGCGCAGCAACACAUUUUUUAAGAUUUUGUAGUAUCUAUAAUCAUGUCUGCCAACUGGGAGUGUUUUGUAAGCUGCCGUUUGCCUGUGCAGUUCUGAUGCUGAGCUCCUCUUCCACGCUUUUGCAAGCAUGAUAUCUUGCGUCAUAUACAUUCCCUAUUGCCAAUGAGAGAUGUUGCCCGAGCUGCAUGUGCCUCUCGUGCUUUUCUGUGCUCCUGGAGAUGCCAUCCCAACCUCACUUUCAGCAGUGCAGCAUCAGGAAUGAAUAAAAAGGCAUCUGAAAAUGAUGAAAUUGCCAGAGAUUUUUCUAAAAAAGUUGACCGCAUUCUGAGAAAUCACUCGGGCAUUGGUGUGAAGAAACUUAAGAUCCACAUGAUUGAAUAUUGCAAUGCCAAGGGUUCUUGUUAUCUCGACAGUUGACUUCAGAUUGCUGUUACACCAGGAAUUGAAGAACUUGCAAUUAUGCUGCCAAUGGAGACAAAAUACAAUUUCCCAUGCUCACUUUUGUCUAAUGGGAGUGGAGACUCAAUCCGGUAUAUCCACCUUGCCGGUUGCACGUUAAUUGCGUCCAACAGCUGAACUUGCUUGGUAAAAAGUUUGACAGAUGUGCGGCUCCAUGAUGUCUGUUUUACUGGGGAUUCGUUAUGGUGCUUUCUAUGCAAUUCUUUAGCUUUGAAUCGGUUGGAAAUCAGGUAUUGUGAUGGGAUAGUUUGCUUGAAGAUCCCUUACAUGCUGCAGCGGCUCAGGUACCUAGAGGUUAUUGGUUGUGAUAUGAUGCAAGAGUUAGACAUCAAAGCUCCAAAUAUAUCCACCUUCUUCUACGGAGGAUGUUGUCGUCAACUGUCACUUGGAGAAACACUGCAAAAGGAGAACAUACACAUGAUAUUCUCAGGCGCAGUUCAUUAUGCUCAUGUGGAACUUCCGUCCAGCAUGCCAAACCUUAAAAUUGCUACUAUACGUUCGAGUGGAGAGAUGGCCAAUAUACCAAUGCUGCAUAGCAAAUUUCUCCACCUCAAGAAGCUAAGUAUUGCUCUUAGCACAAUAACCUUUUCUCCGGCCUAUGAUUAUUUUUCGCUGGUUUCAUUUCUUGAUGCUUGUCCCUUCUUGGAGAAUUUGAUCUUGGAUGUAUCAAAGACAGAGAUGGAGCAUGUCUCCAUUUUCACGGAUCCCUCGAACCUGAGGAAGAUGCAAGGACACUAGCAUCACAAGGUGAAGAGAGUGAAGAUCCUAGGAUUCACGUCUGCAAGGAGGCUGAUUGAGCUAACAUGCCAUGUUGUUGAGAGUAUAGCGUCACUUGAACGCCUUACAUUGCAGGCCCAUCAGAGUUCAUUUAUGUGUUCUGUGCCUUUUCACAAAACUGGCAAGUGCUCUUCAUUUCCCGUUGAUGUUCUCAUGGAAGCUCAACGAGCACUCUUGGCUAUCAGGACAUACAUUGAGCCUAAAGUUCCCUCCAUGGUGAACCUACGUGUUGUUGAUCCUUGUCGCCGAUGCCAUGCUCUUGAACUUUAGAAGCCAGGUUUAGCAUUAUUUCAGUUAUCGUAAGUGUCCAAUGUACAUCCACUCAAAAAAAAACUCCAUUGUGCAGUGUACUUGAUCACCUAUGUGGUUUACUUGUGUUGCUGCGUGAUUGGCUCAGACAUGAAUUUUGGCAUGGGGUUGGGUUACUAGGAUAUGUACUCACGUUAUCAAAAUAGUGGAACUUUGCUAGGCUAUUUUAAAA